rnacentral:siRNA from 1 species
GAUUUUGGUGUCUCAAGAGAUCG